UGGCUAAAAUAUUGACUCCAUCAUUAUUAUUAUGUAGUUUUUAAAAACGUUUGUUUAAAAUAUUAAGCGGAAAAUUAGUUUUCAUUUAAAAAAUCAAAUUUUCUAAUAUUUAUAUAAGAGAGGUUGAUUCUCUUUGAUGAUAUUAUCAACAUUACACAAUUAUCUCAUGUUCAGGCAUCUUCAAGUCGACAAUACUGCGAGGACCCAGAAAUGGUGGACAUACGAGAAAGAGCUGACUCUUGAAGUUGAGCCAAGUGCCUUUCAAUUAUGGGAUUGCGGACUAUCUGGAAUAAUUACAAAGUCUUGAUUGUUAUGGGCACGAGCCUUGGACUCAUACACUGGGGUUGGUACAACGUCAAGUCGCACCCUGCGCUACACAAGAAUAAACAGGACUAUAUGCCCGAACCAGGCAUUGUGGCAUAUGUUUCGCCACCUCAAGCCCCUGCCAAGGCAAAGUAGCAUGUGAAGUGACGUACACAUCCUUCAGAAAGGACAACACCGACUAGGCUAUACAGUGGACUGAGACUAUGAAGCCCCAGAGCUGGUUGAAGAAGAACUGGCUGUGGGUGGCUGGGGGGUCCUUCCUUGGCAUCCAUUUAACCACCUGGCUCAUGCAGAGGGCUAUGAGAAGCGUCGCUCGCUCUGAGAUGGCACUGAAAGAGAAGGAUUCCCAGGAGUGACUGGUGGUGAGGCGUUUUGCCAGUGGACUACUAUCUAUUUAACGAUUCACGUGUGGAGUAAAUGGAAGAUAAUGAUGUAAUUACCUGUGCUUGAUUAGCUGUAAAUGUUAUUCCUCUGUUAGAGAUCAAAUAAAACGCUGAAUUUCACAAUAAGUCAAA